rnacentral:misc_RNA from 1 species
UUUUCUGCAGCAAUGCGAUUUGAUCAGUGUCUUUGCUGACCUGGUUUAAACAGAGCUAGAGGAUGGUCAGUUUGGACUAGUCCGAGUGCUAAGCAUUCUUGGGUCUAGAACAGAUUGCUCAUUAAAUCUAUCUUUUU